rnacentral:lncRNA from 1 species
UUCAAUUUCGAAGUCUUGAUUUCAUAUCGAUCUCACGUGUAUGCACAUAUAAUCUAAGAAACAGAGAUAGCUCGUUAUCAAUUGCAUAAGAAGUAACACAUCAAAUUAAACUACAAACAUUGAAGACUAAAAAAACAAAAAAAAAGAAAAGAAAGAAAGAAGAAGAAAUAAUUACUUAAAGGCGGUAUAACAUGUGACCAUCUUCUUCUAUAUAUAUAUAUAUAUAUAUGGCAACUCCUUACCAGCUGAUACCUUAUAUAUAUAUAUAUAUAAUCUCCCUCAUCUUCAGAUGCUUACAUGACAACGCGUUGCCAGCUGAUACUUAACGACGUUGUCACCAACCAUAAUUCCACUAGUUCUGCUACCAAACUGAAUAUAAGCAGGACACCUAACAUGCAAAUUGUAUUUCGCAGAGAUAAAGGUUCCGACUUUGAAUCGAACUCGACCAUCAAUCUUGAUCAUCAGCAUCACAACUCCAGCACCUUGGUCUUGACUUAAUGCAGCUGAAUUGUACGGAGAUACCGGCACGGAGUUGCCGUAAAUAAAAGGAGACCAAACAUUAGUCUCUUCGUGUCCUUGGUAAGAAGUAGGUAUGGAAGUUCGUAGAGUUAUUUGUUGGUCACGGUAUGUGCCAUAAAUAUCGAGUCUAUCAUAGUAGAUUCCGACUCUAUCAUCCGGGUUGCGAGAGGAUACGGUGACUUGGAAGUUGGAAGUGAUGAAAUUUGGAUAUGAAACGUUAAAGGCGUAAACCGUAGCAUCUUGGAGGAUGAAUUUUGGUUUUGAAGGACGGAGGAUGGCCCAAACUAUGAGGAUUACGAUGAGGGCAAUGAGGAGGAAGGUUAGGAUUACGGCGAAUAACAGGCGGACGAGUCUUGGGCGUGUGUGGCCGUGGUUGCCGCUGUCUUUCUUGGAUGUCAUGUUGGAGGAGUUGGCGGUGGAGAAGUGGAGAGAAAGAGAGUAGCUUUGUGAGGAAGAUUCUCCGAGGGAAGUGUGGAGUUAUUAAGAGUUCGAGGGAGUGAGUGAGAGAGAGGAUUUUGGGGUUCUUUGCUUAAUGCGGGGGUUGUAUUGACGGUGCCGUGAGAUAAACGCGUUGUGUUAUGGGUGUGUAUUAAGGUCUUGUAAUAAGAUGUGAAAUGGUGAUUAGUGCUUUUAUUUUCUUCAGUUUGUGCGGUAGUGGUAGGACUUGGGAGGGUUCUAGCUUAAAGUUUUAUGUGAUUAAUGGGAUUUAAUUGUUAAAUUGGAGGAUACUUGUAUUAGGUCCCUUUUUGUAAUUAACGUUGUGACCAAUUUAUUUGAGGCUUUUUUAGAACAUAAUGAUGAGUAAUUUAAUAACUUUUACUUUUGAAAAUUCUAUGUAUACAUGAGCCUAUGAGAAAAACUUAUGUAUAAGAUAAUGUUUUUUUUUUUUUUUUUUAUCGUUUUCUUUUGAGUGUAUGUCAUUGUAUUAGAAAAGUUCAUAUUUGCUAUUUUUUGGCUAACAAAAAUUUGUUAUUCUUAAACAUAUUAAAAUUAUAAAUUACAAAAAAAAAAAACCACUUCAGCAAAAUAUACACUUUCAAUUUCGAAGUCUUGAUUUCAUAUCGAUCUCACGUGUAUGCACAUAUAAUCCAAGAAACAGAAAUAGCCCGUCAUCAAUUGCAUAAGAAGUAACACAUCAAAUUAAACUACAAACAUUGAAGACUAAAAAAACAAAAACAAAAGAAAGAAAGAAAGAAGAAGAAAUAAUUACUUAAAGGAGGUAUAACAUGUGACCAUCUUCUUCUAUAUAUAUAUAUAUAUAUAUAAUCUUCCUCAUCUUCAGAGGCUUACAUGGCAACUCGUUGCCAGCUGAUACUUGACGACGUUGUCACCAACCAUAAUUCCACUAGUUCUGCUACCAAACUGAAUGUAAGCAGGACACCUGACAUGCAAAUUGUAUUUCGCAGACAUAAAGGUUCCGACUUUGAAUCGAACUCGACCAUCAAUCUUGAUCAUCAGCAUCACAACUCCAGCACCUUGGUCUUGACUUAAUGCAGCUGAAUUGUACGGAGAUACCGGCACGGAGUUGCCGCAAAUAAAAGGGGACCAAACAUUAGUCUCUUUGUGUCCUUGGUAAGCAGAAGGUAUGGAAGUUCGUAGAGUUAUUUGUUGGUCACGGUAUGUGCCAUAAAUAUCGAGUCUAUCAUAGUAGAUUCCGACUCUAUCAUCCGGGUUGCGAGAGGAUACGGUGACUUGGAAGUUGG